UCGUGGAGUGAUCUGUCUGCUUAAUUGCGUUUCACACAGGGCGUUUAACAUACAUGUAUGAGUUGGCUGACGCCGCUCUUCGGAGUGUUGCUUGUCGCCGCUCGUCGUGUAUAAACUGUCCCUGCAUGCAACGAACGUGACCGCAACCUCUUGUUAUUUCUCUUUCAAGGCGAGCUUUAAACUACUUCGGUUUUUAUUGUUUGCCAGUAGAAAUUAAACUAGAGGGACCG
rnacentral:rRNA from 1 species